AACGCUGGCGGCGUGCCUAAUACAUGCAAGUCGAGCGGACAGAUGGGAGCUUGCUCCCUGAUGUUAGCGGCGGACGGGUGAGUAACACGUGGGUAACCUGCCUGUAAGACUGGGAUAACUCCGGGAAACCGGGGCUAAUACCGGAUGGUUGUUUGAACCGCAUGGUUCAAACAUAAAAGGUGGCUUCGGCUACCACUUACAGAUGGACCCGCGGCGCAUUAGCUAGUUGGUGAGGUAACGGCUCACCAAGGCAACGAUGCGUAGCCGACCUGAGAGGGUGAUCGGCCACACUGGGACUGAGACACGGCCCAGACUCCUACGGGAGGCAGCAGUAGGGAAUCUUCCGCAAUGGACGAAAGUCUGACGGAGCAACGCCGCGUGAGUGAUGAAGGUUUUCGGAUCGUAAAGCUCUGUUGUUAGGGAAGAACAAGUACCGUUCGAAUAGGGCGGUACCUUGACGGUACCUAACCAGAAAGCCACGGCUAACUACGUGCCAGCAGCCGCGGUAAUACGUAGGUGGCAAGCGUUGUCCGGAAUUAUUGGGCGUAAAGGGCUCGCAGGCGGUUUCUUAAGUCUGAUGUGAAAGCCCCCGGCUCAACCGGGGAGGGUCAUUGGAAACUGGGGAACUUGAGUGCAGAAGAGGAGAGUGGAAUUCCACGUGUAGCGGUGAAAUGCGUAGAGAUGUGGAGGAACACCAGUGGCGAAGGCGACUCUCUGGUCUGUAACUGACGCUGAGGAGCGAAAGCGUGGGGAGCGAACAGGAUUAGAUACCCUGGUAGUCCACGCCGUAAACGAUGAGUGCUAAGUGUUAGGGGGUUUCCGCCCCUUAGUGCUGCAGCUAAC
rnacentral:rRNA from 1 species